CACUGUCUUCAUCAAAAUUAUGGUACGUAAAAAUUUCACCAGAAAUCUGAUCAGGUAAAAUUUUGUUAAUAUGACUAACACAUUCUUUUCUAGGCAUAAGAAUGACUCGACUUUAUAUGGCAUGUAAAUUAUUAGCAUAUGCUUUCAUUUCUGUAAAAACAUGAUGUAUCAAUUAUUUUAAAGAUGUGAUUUCAUCAUCAAAUGGCAAGAUUAUACUAUUUGAAAAUUUAAUGCACUUGCAAAGUAUGCUCUUGCUCCAUUCUAUUUUCAAUUCUGAGCAAGUAAUUGCACAACAUCGGAUCCAACUUUGCCCCCAUAUCUCAACCAAUGGUAGUUGUAAAUACUAAGGCUAUGGGUUUGAGAACACCAAGGCAUCGUUUGAGUAUUUCCUUAAUUGCACGGGUUGUAAAAUGGACAAAUUUGCUAUUUAUCUAAUAAUGAUAAAGAGAUUAUCAUGAGUAAAGACAGCAAUUUAAUUUACUAGGACUAAUUGGAUCAUUUAAUUUUUCAAUUUUCUUGCAAUUUCAAAGAUUAACAGAUGCAUCAUUCUCAACAUAUUUAAGCAUCACGUCCCCAGAACAGUCCAACAAUUUAACAUGUUUAUUACAGCAGGGGGGAAAAAAAAAAAAGGGAAAAACCCUAAACUCAUGGCUUCUUCAGUAGUUCUUUAGUAACUUUAUAAGAAUGUUAGCUCCAUGGCAAUCACUUGCUUGGAUAAUAUUGUUUUGCCUUUUGAAUUUUUAUUUUCCUUCCAGCCUUCAAACUGGAUUUCCACCCGAGGUUAGAUUUGUGCUCCUAGGUGCCGCACUUAAAGCAACUGUGGGUAAUUCCCCUCUAAGAUACUUUGAGCCACUUCUCAGAAGCUUCUCUUGGUACACGAUAUAAGAUGUAAAAAUGAGUAUUAAGGUGAUUUCCCAUUUCUUUUCUAACAAUUCACAUCUAAAAUUCCAAUUGUACAUAGAAGAGCAUCCAAAAUAAAAAAAGGAAGAAAACAUAAUAAACAUGUGCACUAUUCUGAACAAAAUACUCCUUAAAUUAAUAAGAUUUCAUCUCCACCAAAAACAUUUUAUUAGGUUCAAUUCAGCUAUCAAAAAUAUUUACCUUAAAUAAUAGGAUUAAUUUUAUUGAGAAGCAGUCCCGCUUUCAUGACCAUUUUUUAUGUCAACAAAGCGUCUACCAAGGGGAUCUCAAACAUCUAGCAAUUCCAAAAUGACACCAGAAGCUUUAAGCUUUGACCAACUCCACACAAAAGGCUCUCUUCGAAUGGUCUACAUUAAAUUUAGGAAAUGUUAGAAAAUGAAGAGAGUAGAGAAAAGCCAAGGGGGUUAUGGAAUUCCAAUUUACUAUCAUAGGUGUUCCUUCGCCAAUCAAGUGGGUUUUGUUCUGAUUCUCUCUUCUUUAACAUAACUCUCGUUUUUCAAUUCUUCAUCAGCCAAUACACCCAACUUUCUCUUUUGAGCUUAAAAAAGCAGGUAAAGUCAGGGGGUAUAGCAAAAUAGAAAAUAUCAACAAAAAAUCUAGGUAGUAGAAAAUGAAAAUAUUUCACGAUAGACUAAAGUCAAUGCCUUCAGCUGCAAUACAAUUACUAUUUGGAAAUGUAUGUCAGUGAAUAGUUACAGCGUUAAUGAACUCCAAAUCCCCUUGGCAACAUGAAAAUAUACGAACAAAAAACACAAAAUUUAUGUGCAAAUUCAAGAAGGAAAAAACCGCUGACUGAGAAGGAAAAAUUCACUAUAUCAAAGGAUAAUUAUAAAAGUUGGAUGAUUUCAAGAUAUUUAAUUAUUUCUAUAUAUAAUACAAACAUUACACCAAAAAAGAGCUUUUGUAGUGGUCAAAAAAUGCUGCAAAAGGUCAUUUGUAGCGUUUUAGUGUGUGUUGCGGGGUCGAUGUUGCCGUUGAAGGAAGA
rnacentral:lncRNA from 1 species